rnacentral:lncRNA from 1 species
CAAACAACCAUCUCUUGUCUCCUGGCUUUACUUUUCUGUUUGAAGUUAGAUUAUGCCAGGAGAACAUGUUGACCCAGAGCAGAAGCACUGACUAUAAUUUUUACUGACUGGAUAUACACAGGUUGAGACUAUGACCCAGUAAAGAGAUAUGAUUUGGUCUUGUUCCAGCAUCUGAACUGGCAGACCAAAGUGGUAUCCAAACUUGACGAUGUCAUUCCAAAUCUACUCUGCAGACCAUUUUUCACCACUAUUUUGUUCCGUUGAAGUCCCACCUGCGAGUUCCGCCCUUCCAAAGAGCACACAGCUCCACAGCACCCUGAAAGACAUUAUUCCCCUGAACCUGGAAAGAAGAUGUCUCUCUUUCGUAGAAACAUGCAGAGAACUCGGAGGUUCACUCUGAAUACUUGGUCCAUCUUUAUUUUUGCUAUGGAUCUGCCUGGCAUCUGCAGUAAUUGAAAGGUAGAAGUUAACAUACUUGUCUUCAGUUUCCUCACCUUGCAGGGCAGAAUGUGUGUCUGCCUUUGCUUUAUAUCCUUCCAUGUUCUCUGCAUAUAUUACACAUCCUGCACCCACACUGUAUUGUGUGGAAGAUAGGAUUCAAUAUUUCCAGUCCUCCCUGCAAAUGUUAGUGAUGCUUCUUCACGAGGAAAGAUUUCCAGCAAGAGGCAAAGGGCCAUUAAAUAUUUCAAAAUUCAGUCACUCACUUCCCUCUUAUUCCUAACACACU